UGGGGAAUAUUGCACAAUGGGGGAAACCCUGAUGCAGCGACGCCGCGUGAACGAAGAAGGUAUUCGUAUCGUAAAGUUCUGUCCUAUGGGAAGAUAAUGACAGUACCAUAGAAGAAAGCUCCGGCUAAAUACGUGCCAGCAGCCGCGGUAAUACGUAUGGAGCGAGCGUUGUCCGGAAUUAUUGGGCGUAAAGGGUACGCAGGCGGUUUAAUAAGUCGAAUGUUAAAGAUCGGGGCUCAACCCCGCAAAGCAUUGGAAACUGAGAAACUUGAGUAGUGGAGAGGAAAGUGGAAUUCCUAGUGUAGUGGUGAAAUACGUAGAUAUUAGGAGGAAUACCAGUAGCGAAGGCGACUUUCUGGACACAAACUGACGCUGAGGUACGAAAGCGUGGGGAGCAAACAGG
rnacentral:rRNA from 1 species